AGCAGGUUCUUGAACCACUUUGAGCUGAACCUGGGCUCUUAGAAGUUGGUUUGGAGGAUAUUUUAACCAAGGCGAGAGCGCGAUCAAGCCUUGGAUUAUCUUUAGCUGACCUGUGAGGGCUCUUGGAGGCUUAACUUGAGCAGGGCUGAGGCUUGAUUGAGCUGAAUUUCAGGACUCUUGUGGACUGAUUUGAGCCUAGUAAUAGAGCCAUCUACAGGAGAGGCUAGGGAUCGUGGCAAGGGAG